CCCGAGCUUGCUCACAAACGCGGGGGCGAGGCAGACACGGGGACAGAGGAUCCUGAGCCGGCUGGGCUUGACGCUGACAGCAGCGAACUUGAUGCGGAGCUGGAAUUCGUGAACCAUAAGGGAAAACAAGGGCGUGGAAGCUGAAGAGGCAGAUCUGUGAGAGGUGUGAGUGAGUGGCAAAGAGAAACGACAGCAAGAACCCAACAGGAUUUAGAGAUGGGCUGUGCACCCCGUCACUUCACACAGAGGCCCAGGCAGACUUGUCUGCGAGACCAGUUCCCCUCAGUCUUAUCUGACUGCCAGCUCCCGAAAUGCUCGUGAGCAAACGUCUGCAGAAUGCUGUCACAGAACGGUGGGUCCAUUCUGAAGCACGCAGCCCAGGCAAGUGGGGGGUGGCCGCAGUGGCCGGCCGGGCGCAGCCAGACUGUGAAGAGGGGCAGUCCAAUGAUUAACAUUCCUGACGUCAAUUACCACUGUCCUCAGGAGAAGACGUUCACAGAAGGGCAUUGUCUCGGCUCCACAGCACACAAAGGGUCAAGCCUCACAAAUUUGCUCAUAGCGGGGGGAAGAAAAACCCCACAGGUCAAAAUGUUCAGAUUACAGGUUCAGGAAAAUCCCUUUACAGAAAGAAGACAGCAAAUCCCCAGUUCACUUGAAAGGACAAAACUUUCUUCACCUCAGAGAUUCUCCAGUGAAUAAACCGGUUAAACAUGGUUUGGAUUUACUGAACAUGAAAACAACUGGAUUAAAGUAUAAUCUAGCUAGAAAGGAAAGGAAAUGUACCCAGAACGCUAAGUAAGGACAAAGCUGCAGUGUUUAUAUGUACCAAGCAUGGACGGACAUUCCAGUUUUAUAACCAAGUUUUCCUAAAUGUUUAACUUUCCUUUAGAUCCAGAUAACGAGUCUCUGUUUGCAUAGACCUCUCUGAUAACAACACGGGUAUCAAGGCAACUGUAUGAGCGCUAGGAGCAUCGAUGCCCAGGAGGCCACAGGCCCUGGCACACCAGAGUCUGGAGGCACCGGCUAUCACGGCAGGUGUUCAGCGUGGGCCUGGCCUGCCAGCAGCCCGUACAGUACACAUUGGGGUCAGCAUCGCACAGGCACAGGUUCCGUAAUUAGAAAGACCUGGGUUUGUAUCCCAGUUUCACUUUUUACUGACUGUGUGACCUUAGGCAAACAACUUAUACUGUCUCAGUUCUUCUCUUAGUAAAAUGAGAAUACCCACCCAAUGGGCUGUUUUGAGAAUUAAAUGAGAUAAUACAUGGGAAAAGCCCAGGCUGAAACUGAAGAACCCAACAGAUAGGAGGCUGGUUGUCUUCCAAUCUUGGGCCACGUUCAGAUCUUACUCUGUGACAGGAGGCUUCAGAAUCUGUUAUAUCAUGGGCUCCUAACCCUUUUUGUACCAAAGAUCCUGACUCAGAUGUUUAUAAAAGUAUAAGAUGAAACACACAUGACUCCAAAGAAAGCCAGUUUGUUGAAUACACUUAAAGUGUUUUUUAAAACUUGUGUUAAAAUAAUACACAGGCCUUUCUUUGACACGUUAAAUAAGAGUCCGCGGUAGGUCUAAUAACGACAUUUUAAAGUAGUGAUCAGUGGGGUGCCUGGGUGGCUCAGCCAGUUGAGCGUCCGACUUUGGCUCAGGUCACGAUCUCGUGGCUUGUGAGUUUGAGCCCCGUGUCGGGUUCUGUGCUGACAGCUCAGAGCCUGGAGUCUGCUUUGGAUUCUGUGUCUCCCUUUCCCUCUGCCCCUCCCCCACUCAUGCUCUGUCUCUCUGUCUCUCUCUCUCAAAAAUAAAUAAACAUUAAAAAAAUAAUAAAGUAGUGAUCAGUGUAUUUCAAGAUCUGCAACAACAAAUAUGACAUUCAUACUUGCAUCUUUUUAAAGUUUAUUUAUUUUGAGAGAGAAAGCACAAGCAGGUGAGGGGCAGAGAGAAGGAAAGA